rnacentral:tRNA from 1 species
UCUAAUGUGGCAGAAUAGUGCAAUAAAUUUAAGGCUUAUACAAAAAGAAAAUCUUUCUUUAGAU